UACGUAGGGCGCAAGCGUUGUCCGGAAUUAUUGGGCGUAAAGAGCUCGUAGGCGGUUUGUUGCGUCGGCUGUGAAAUCCCGAGGCUCAACCUCGGGUCUGCAGUCGAUACGAGCAAACUAGAGUGUUGCAGGGGAGACUGGAAUUCCUGGUGUAGCGGUGAAAUGCGCGGAUAUCAGGAGGAACACCGGUGGCGAAGGCGGGUCUCUGGGCAACAACUGACGCUGAGGAGCGAAAGCGUGGGGAGCGAACAGG
rnacentral:rRNA from 1 species